UGGUCAUUUAGAGGAAGUAAAGUCGUAACAAGGUUUCCGUAGGUGAACCUGCGGAAGGAUCAUUACCGGUUCAUGCCCUCCGGGGUAGAUCUCCCACCCUGUCUACUUUACCUGUUGUUUGGCGGGCCGUCCGUCCCGGCCGCUGGCGCACCGCCGGCGCGCGCCCCCAAAGGACCCCAAACCCUAACAUGAGUGCGUGUCGUCCGAGUACUAUUAAUAGUUAAAACUUUCAACAACGGAUCUCUUGGUUCUGGCAUCGAUGAAAACGCAGCGAAAUGCGAUAAGUAAUGUGAAUUGCAGAAUUCAGUGAAUCUCGAAUCUUUGAACGCACAUUGCGCCCCUUGGUAUUCCGAGGGGCAUGCUGUCCGAGCGUCAUGAGACCAAUCAAGCCCUGCUUGGUGUUAGGCCGCGCAGCAAUGGCAGGCCCCAAAUUCAGUGGCGGCGCCGCUGGGCUUCGAGCUAGUAAUUGGCCGCGCUUAGAGGACCGGCGGUAGGCGACCAGAACCUCACUCUUCGGGUUGACCUCGGAUCAGGUAGGAAUACCCGCUGAACUUAAGCUAUCAAUAAGCGGAGGA
rnacentral:rRNA from 1 species